UACGGAGGGUGCAAGCGUUAUCCGGAUUCACUGGGUUUAAAGGGUGCGUAGGUGGAUUAGUAAGUCAGUGGUGAAAUCUCCGGGCUUAACCCGGAAACUGCCAUUGAUACUAUUAGUCUUGAAUACCGUGGAGGUCAGCGGAAUAUGUCAUGUAGCGGUGAAAUGCUUAGAUAUGACAUAGAACACCAAUUGCGAAGGCAGCUGGGCUACACGAAUAUUGACACUCAGGCACGAAAGCGUGGGGAUCAAACAGG
rnacentral:rRNA from 1 species